rnacentral:rRNA from 1 species
UACGAAGGUUGCGAGCGUUGUUCGGAAUCACUGGGCUUAAAGCGCAUGUAGGCGGCUCAUCAUGUGCCUUGUGAAAUCCCACGGCUCAACCGUGGAAUUGCUUGGUAGACUGUUCGAGCUUGAGGCAGGUAGGGGCACGUGGAACUCUUGGUGGAGCGGUGGAAUGCGUAGAUAUCAAGAGGAACGCCGGUGGCGAAAGCGGCGUGCUGGGCCUGUCCUGACGCUGAGAUGCGAAAGCCAGGGGAGCAAACGGG